AGUGAACGCUGGCGGUAGGCCUAACACAUGCAAGUCGAACGGCAGCACAGUAAGAGCUUGCUCUUACGGGUGGCGAGUGGCGGACGGGUGAGGAAUACAUCGGAAUCUACUUUUUCGUGGGGGAUAACGUAGGGAAACUUGCGCUAAUACCGCAUACGACCUACGGGUGAAAGCAGGGGAUCUUCGGACCUUGCGCGAUUGAAUGAGCCGAUGUCGGAUUAGCUAGAUGGCGGGGUAAAGGCCCACCAAGGCGACGAUCCGUAGCUGGUCUGAGAGGAUGAUCAGCCACACUGGAACUGAGACACGGUCCAGACUCCUACGGGAGGCAGCAGUGGGGAAUAUUGGACAAUGGGCGCAAGCCUGAUCCAGCCAUACCGCGUGGGUGAAGAAGGCCUUCGGGUUGUAAAGCCCUUUUGUUGGGAAAGAAAAGCAGCAGGUUAAUACCCCGCUGUUCUGACGGUACCCAAAGAAUAAGCACCGGCUAACUUCGUG
rnacentral:rRNA from 1 species